UACGUAGGGUGCAAGCGUUGUCCGGAAUUAUUGGGCGUAAAGAGCUCGUAGGCGGUCUGUCGCGUCGGCUGUGAAAACCCGGGGCUCAACCCCGGGCCUGCAGUCGAUACGGGCUAGCUAGAGUGUGGUAGGGGAGAUCGGAAUUCCUGGUGUAGCGGUGAAAUGCGCAGAUAUCAGGAGGAACACCGGUGGCGAAGGCGGAUCUCUGGGCCAUUACUGACGCUGAGAAGCGAAAGCAUGGGGAGCGAAAAGG
rnacentral:rRNA from 1 species